GGCGCCGAUGCAUGUCUGGGAAGGGGGGUGCUUGCCGCGCGGGCGGCCUGCGGCUGCGCAGACCUGCCUCGUCGCCCCGCCCACCGCCUUGCCGCCGCGGGCGUCGCCAUGGACCCGCUGGGCUCGGCCUGCUCCGUGGCCGACUCGCCGCGCCUGCUGGUGGAGGACUCGCAGCCGGAGCCGGAGCCGGAGCGGGCCGGAGGGGCGCUAAGCCCGGUCCUGGAGCCGCCGCCGCCGCCGCCGCGCUUGCCGGCCUUUCCGGAGGCCGGUGAAGUUCCAUCUGCAGACCAAGAUAAAGCAGGCUGUCAUACAGUAAGGAAAUCCAGGAGUGAUUAUUCUGAAGGUUCCAGCUCUAUGUCCAGCCGUGUCCCUGGAAUAAUGCAGCCCCACAAAGAAACUCCUGAGACCCCAGGUUCUCCCUGCCUCCUCCUGGAGAGGACACCGCCAGUGAAGAGCCCUCAUCCUUGGCCAUUGGAGGAUGCUGAGCCUGUCUCUUCUACACAGGAGGACAUGUUUAGCCAGAACAGCACAACAGCUCCGGGCAGUGGUUGCACCAUGUCUAGACCAGAAGAGGCAAGUUCCUCAUCAUCCUCUCCGAAUGAUCCUCUGCACGUCCUUCAGCUCUCUGGACAAGGACCUCUUUCCAAUUGUGCUUCAGGUCUUGCUAGAACAACUUCUGAUGUCUUACAGCCAGUGCCUUUUAUUCUUCCAAGAAGCCCAACUGAACAGGAGGCAGAAGGAAAGCAGGAAAGUCCAACAUUGGAGACGGCAGGCACCCUUCGGGGUUCUGUUCCAGCUCCUCAAGAGGCUGUCCUGCUGCCCUCCAUCCCUCUGCCAUCCCAGCCCGAAUUCUCUCACGACACCUUUCUCCCAACUCCAAGCCUGGAGGAAGGCUGUAAGAAGGGAGCAGAGAAAGGAGGAUGUUCUGAUGACUCUGAAGUGCCGGAGGCUGCAACAUCAGCCUCUUUUGCAGAACCCGAAGAGAACAGCUGUAUUUUGGCCCUCUCUGUUAGUCAGGAUAGCCAGGUGACCCCAGUGGAGAAGAAGGAGACCACUGGCGUUGCUGCUGCUUGUGCUUUGGAGGAGAAGCUUUGCUUGCCUGAUGGCUGUAGUGAACAGGAGGCCGAUGAGAGUCGGCCCUCAUUUGUACUGUCGGCAGAAAGCACUUCCCUGGACAAACCUUGUGAUGACCUCGGCCAUCAAGGCAGGGUGCCAACCAAGGAAUCUUUGUUCCUGGAGUGUGACGCUGUCCCGGACACUCCCUGUGAAAAGGCAGAAGAAGUCGCCUUGCUGGAUGAAGGACUUUCUCUUCGUUUGACAAUUUCUCAGGCAGUAGAACAAGCGGAAUGUUCUGCUGUUGGGGAAGCCUUUCCCCAAAACGAUCCACAUGUAACUGGCGAGCCGGCACUCGUGGGGUCAGGCAAGCUAGAGCAAGGUCCUCGGGACAAUCCCAACGAGCCUGUGCUGGAAGUGCAGAGCAAGGGUCGAAGGAUUAAUCCUGGAAUGAUGCUGAAAGAGUCCGAUUCUGAGCCCCCACCGGAGGAGGGGAGUAGCCAGCUCCAGAGAAGAACUGGUAGUUUUCCUGGGGAGAUUCUGCAUGCCCGUGUCCCACCAGAGCCGCCCUUUCGUAUCUCGUUGGCGAAAGAGAGAGAGGCCCUCACCCCGCCUCUGGUGGGCCAGCACAAGGAAGGCCUCAGGCACAGCACUCCCAUUGGGGCGGGAAGUGACCCCGAGCACCCUGCUGUGGGGCCAGAGGGCAGAGAUGGCGUCUUGGCGGGGGCUGGAUCAGCUGGCUCUGCAGCCCUUGAGGAGAGCUCCCAAGGCAGCGCUGUGAUGGCCUGCGAAGAGGAAGAGGAAGAGGGGCUCUGCCUGCGUGGGACCCUGGUGACCCCCGUGAUGGAAGAGAGUGACGAGCCUCUGCCUUUCAGCCUGGAGAAGCCUGAAGCGAGGGAAAGGACGAAUGGGCUGGCCACAGUGAGCGACCCCAGUUCUCAGAAAACGCUGUCUGUCUUUGCUCGAGUCUGUGGACCUCAACCCGAAGAAAAGGCUCCAGGCCCAGGACAGCCGUCUUCGCUAUUCAGGGGUGACUUGUUCAAGUUCCCAAGUUCCCAAGAAGAAGAAGAACCGUCACAAACUUGGCAGGAGCAGCAGAAAUGUGUCCCCUUGGGUGGCAGACAAGUCCCGCCUUCUGAGCCGAUGGCCGAAGAGAAGGCGGUAGGCUGCACUGAGGUGGGAGAGGCCAUGGAGGUUGACGUUGCCCCACUUCAGCCUGGGGAGAAUCAGAGAGCCAUAAAGAAGUCGGGCCCAGUGGGGGCACCAGGAGAAAAGACCGUUCCAGAGUCUGGAUCCAGCAAUGGCAAAAGCACCCAGGCCCCAGACCCAGCGGGCCCCAUGUCAGCAGCCACGCAGACGGCCUCUGCCGCUACGGUGGAAGUGGGCACCAGCAUGGCCUGCCCAGCGCUCCAGCAACGCAGCGCCAGUGUGCAAACAGAGCGGGACUUUAUGUGGCGGCCUAGAAGCUCCCCAGAGACCUCGCCCUGUCAGAAGGAGGAAGAAUUCGAACUGCCACACCCACCAGCAGGUAGAGUCCUACAGCGCCAUGUGAGAACAAUUCGGGAAGUGCGGACCCUCAUAACACGCGUCAUCACGGAUGUUUACUACAAAGAUGGCACCGAAGUGGACCGACAGGUGAUUGAGGAGCGAGAGGAGCCCCACGUGGAUUGCUAUGAGUGUGAGGUGGACGUCUCUCCUUCCCGCACUGGGUCCUUUUCUCUGACCUCUGGAGACCUUGGGGACAUCAGCUCCUUUUCCUCCAAGGCGUCGGGACCUCAACACACUUCCAGUGGAGGAAGCAGUGCUCUGUCUGCCACUCGCAGCCGCGCAAACUCUGCAGCCCGAAGAGGGGGCUCUCAAGACUUGGCCUUGCCCACGGUCAAGAAGCCGAGCCCUAAGAGGGGGACCAGCUUCUGCCCAGCCCAUCGUGAGCAUGGCAAAGGUGCAGCGGACCAUGAGGUGGAAGACCCAGGCCCCAGCAACCAGCAGUGUGGAGGUGCACCUCUCACUCCCCGUGGGCGAGGGCGAAGGGGCCGCCCCACUUCCCGAUCAACUGGAGCCAGGGGCUCCAUGCAGGCUGAGGCAGAUCUUUCAACCACUGCCUCUUUGGACGGGCAGCCCAGCCUGGGUCCACAUCUGGAGGGACAGGAGCAAGCUGACCCCCCUCCAUGCCGCAGUGGCUCCCCCGAAAUCCCUUUGCAGGAGCAGCCGAGCGUCUCUGAUAAUCCCAGGCUCCCUUCCCCUGGGAGCUGCCUCGUGGGCCUCCGGGUGGUAGCCAAGUGGUCCUCCAAUGGCUACUUCUACUCAGGGACUAUCACGCAGGAUGUGGGCGGAGCCAAGUACAGGUUGCUCUUUGACGAUGGCUAUGAAUGCGACGUUCUGGCCCGAGAUGUCCUUCUGUGCGACCCCCUCCCUCUGGAAACGGAGGUGACAGCGCUCUCCGAGGAUGAAUACUUCAGUGCAGCCUGUAGCUCUGCCUUUGCUGCAGGUGUGGUCAAGGGCCACCGGAAGGAGGCAGGAGAGCUGUUCUAUUGCAUCGAGAAAGAUGGACAGCGGAAGUGGUACCGGCGGACGGCGGUUAUCCUGUCUUUGGAGCAAGGGAACAGACUCCGGGAGCAGUUUGGGCUUGGCCCCUGCCAGCCUGCCACUCCUCUGCCCAGGGCGGCCGAUAUCAGCCUAGAUAACCUGGUGGAGGGAAAGCGGAAGAGACGCAGCAUUGGCUCACCCGGCCCCGCCAGUGGUAGCACAACUCCCGUCCGCAAGAGCCCGGAGCCUCUUUCCAGUAAAAGGAAACUGGCUGCUGUCUCAGAGGAGGAGCAGUCGCCAGCCAAGCGAGGGCGGCGACUGGUACUGUCCAAAGCAGGAACUGCGAAUGCCAGGGAGUUGGCAAGCCCAUCAGGAAGUGGAAAGUCCUCAGGCGAACCCUUGGCACUUGAUCACCGAUGGGGUCCUUUGCCCCAGAACAAAACUCUGUUUUUGGGCUAUGCCUUUCUUCUCUCCGUGGCGAAUGCAACAGAUAAGCUUUCUAGUCAUCAAAAGACUACAGUGAGCAGUGAAGAAGAAGAAGAAUUUGUGGAGAGAGUACCUUACGACAAACCCUACACUGAGCUACAACUCCAAGCAGGAGGCGGUUUCAUCCUUGAGGACUUCAACGAAAGCCAGUGCAGCGCAGCCUAUGACUGCCUCCUCAUAGCAGACCAGCACUGCCGCACCCGGAAGUAUUUCCUGUGCCUUGCCCGGGGAAUACCGUGUGUGUCUCACAUGUGGGUCCAUGACAGUUGCCUCGCCAACCAGAUUCAGAACUACAAGAACUACUUGUUGCCGGCUGGCUACAGCCUGGAGGAAGAGCGGUUGCUGGAGUGGCACCCACGGAGAAAUCCUUUCCAGAGGCUGAAGGUACUCCUGGUGUCCGACGAGUCCCAAAACUUCCUGGAACUCUGGUCGGAGAUUCUGAUGAUGGGAGGAGCUGCUUCGGUUAAGCAGCAGGAAUCCUCAACCUGGAAGAACGGAUUCUUAGGAUCCUUUUGAGAAACUGCGGGAGUCUCCUGCAAGAUCACCCUUUCAUUGAAAAGUGUUAAGAGUGGGAUAUGCAAUGCUAGAAACUGACAGCCAUUGUUUUCUGUUCUUACAGAUCAGCAGGUUUCUUGCAGCAAAACCUCCAGACAAACUUGCUGAAUCCCAGGUGUGCAAGAAGAGGAAGUUAAGUUAAAAGCCGUACAGACCAGUCUAAAUAAAUAUACUUAGAAAAGCUGAUUUGAAGAGCAGCAAACGCAAGGGAGCACGGUAAGAUGGGAUAACUGCCAAAAAUUUGAUUUUCUUUCUAGGCUUUGUGAAGCAACAGCAAUUGAGAGUGUUUAAUUUUCUAUCUCUGGGACACUUGCCUGAAUCGGCAUAUUUAUCUCAAAAUCAGAUGAAGCACUGUAGCCCUUCCACCUUUGUUCUUACGCCCCCUAUUUCCAGGCCAUCUCCUUGAAAAAAAAUUGAUUGCAUAAAAAAGACAAUAUCGGUUACUUUCUUUUUCAUUAAGGGCUCCAGCAGUUUUGUUAGGAAAUAAAAUGGCUCGUCUUAUAUUUUGGCAGUUGUUUCCCACCAGAGGCAGCAAAUGUUGAUAGCCUCUUGGCCUGGUUCAAACUGUGUGUCUUCAGCAC